UCUGCCUCAACACAAAACAAUCACUGCAGUUAGGGUUUUACAUUUCAUUUCCUUUUUUACACUUCAUUUUCCUUAGCCGUUUUUUCUAUCCUUCGAUCUCCUUUGUUGUUUUCUUCAUUUCAGGUUGCCAUUUUUUCACUGAAUCCCUUGUUUCUUUGAUCUUUUCGCAUCCUUAUCUCCAUUCUUUGUUGAAGAAAUUCGGGCUUUGAUCGAACUUCUUCCGUGUUUAUGGUUCACAAAGAUGGAGAGCAUAAGCAAACCGUCUUCCGUAAGUAUUUCAAGAUCUUGAUACAAACAAGCUAGAUCCGUCUUUGACGCGAGCGGUGGAUUUAGCGGCACAAACUCAUGGCGGCGUUAGGAUCUCGGUGGUGGAAGACCUCAUCAUCUGUAAUUCUUUAGAAGAGUUGGUCCUGGGUGGGAGAGGUGUCAAUUUGUGCAGUUUAGAACUAUCUUAGUUCGUUAAUUUUGUACUUUGAUUUAUUAAACCUUGUAAGAUAAUGUAAUACUAAAGAAAUUCAGAUGUAUCCCCUUGGAAAAACCAGUGAUAUUUUUUGUUCUUGUACUCUAUAUUUUAUUAAUAAUAAUGAGAAAGGUUUACGA